rnacentral:rRNA from 1 species
UACGAAGGGGCUAGCGUUGCUCGGAAUCACUGGGCGUAAAGGCGCGUAGGCGGCGUUUUAAGUCGGGGUGAAAGCCUGUGGCUCAACCACAGAAUGGCCUCGAUACUGGGACGCUUGAGUAUGGUAGAGGUUGGUGGAACUGCGAGUGUAGAGGUGAAAUUCGUAGAUAUUCGCAAGAACACCGGUGGCGAAGGCGGCCAACUGGACCAUUACUGACGCUGAGCGCGAAGCGUGGGAG